UCACUUCCAACAACGGAUCUCUUGGCUCUCGCAUCGAUGAAGAACGUAGCGAAGUGCGAUAAGUAAUGUGAAUUGCAGUAUUCCGUGAAUCAUCGAACCUUUGAACGCAUAUUGCACUUUCUGGUAUUCCGGAAGGUAUGCCUGUUUGAGGGUCAGUU
rnacentral:rRNA from 1 species